UACGGGGGGGGCAAGCGUUGUUCGGAAUUACUGGGCGUAAAGGGCUCGUAGGCGGCCAACUAAGUCGGAUGUGAAAUCCCUCGGCUUAACCGGGGAACUGCGUCUGAUACUGGAUGGCUAGAGGUUGGGAGAGGGAUGCGGAAUUCCAGGUGUAGCGGUGAAAUGCGUAGAUAUCUGGAGGAACACCGGUGGCGAAGGCGGCAUCCUGGACCAAUUCUGACGCUGAGGAGCGAAAGCCAGGGGAGCAAACGGG
rnacentral:rRNA from 1 species